AGUCGUAACAAGGUUUACCGUGAGGUGAACCUGCGGAAGGAUCCAAUUGACCGAGUUCUGGCCGUGCUCUGCAGGAACUCCCACCCUUGAUUACUAUAGCGUUGCUUCGGCGAGACGCUGGAAACAGCCGUUGACCUCUCACGUCGAUGCGUGCUCGCCGGAGUUUCAUACUCUACAUUAUGUGUCGUCAGAGAAUCAAAAAUCUAAAAAA
rnacentral:misc_RNA from 1 species